GCUGCGGGCACUGGCACGUGGGAGAUUGAUUAUAACCAACCAAUGGCUGGUUCCCGUCACGGUUUCCCAUGCUGGUCUUUUCCUUUGUGUGGCUACACGAACCAUCUAGUUGAACAUGUGUGGUUGAGUCAGACUUUGCUGUGUCUUCUUGACUGAGUUCCCGCCAACUGUUCGUCAGGCUCCGCUGGCUUCACUCCGUGUCUUGUCAAGGGCCGCCUACGCGAAUACGAGGGAAGACGAUGCGACGAGAGGAUGCAAGGGCACGUUUCCCGGCCCUUCGGUCUCUAGCUUUUCAGUUUCCAUUUUCCCCAAAUUUCUCGAAUGCAAUGUCCUUAAGCUGCUACAGAACUAUCGCGUGUCGGGGAGUGCCAGAGGCCAGACGGGGCUGGUCCUCUCUCAACCUAAGCGUUUUCGGAAGUUUUCGAAGUAGUCAACUCUCAGUGAGCGGCUUACAAUAUUUCUAGCCGUUGUCCCUCGAUAAAUCACGUCGGCACAUGUGGCAACGAAAUUCCAGACACAAAUUCGGAUGCAGAGUUUAAUGUAGAGUUUGAGAGGGCACCAGGGGGAGGCUCUAU
rnacentral:lncRNA from 1 species